CAGCAGUGGAGCACUUUCAGACGGUAGAUGGCAGCCUGUAAUAAUGGUUCGGAUCUCUCGGUAGUAAGGUGAGGGACAACACAAAGUUAUCCGAGAAUGUUUUUAUUUUUUCAAAGAAGUUCAAUACAUCACAAACUAUGUUCUUUUUAAUUUACCUAUAUGAGGUAAAUUAAUCUUGUAGCCUACUUCAAUCUUGUCAUGUCAAACUAAGUGAAAUAAUUCGGUUUACAGUGAUAAAUAUGCAUUCAAAAUCUCUUUGGCCUAAAAAUGUGCCAAACUGAAUUUUAAAUCAAUUAAUUUAAUUUAAAGAGCAAUUCUUAAUAUAAAAUAUACACUUAAUAUAAAAAAUACAGUCAAAAGAAAAAUGACAUGAUGUUCAUGGGGUAAAUUGAUUAUAAUUAUUUUAUUUUUUGCUUUAGCCACUUGGUGGAGAACUUUACUCAUGGGACACACUGGUUAAAGUCAAGAUUUUCGUUAGAUAUUUUUGUGAUUUUCCAUUUAGGUAGCCUAUUCGACCGUUAAAAUACUGAAUACGUUUAUGCUUCGGUGACAUCAUUUUUAUUGCUUGAACUGCAUUUCCACCAGAAUACCUAAUAUCUAUGGCAGUUUGGUUAUCUUUCAUUUGCCAGAGGAUCUCUUAAACUUCCUUGUUACUUGUGUUAUGGCAGUGUCUGGCCCAGUUAUGGUUUCCAGAUAUGCUCAAUAGCUUUGACAUCUAAUGGCAAAACCUGAUGGCUUUUUUGUGUUGCUAAUUGCCAGAAGACCAGGAGAACUUGCUACUCUGGUGAGUAAACAUUUGAUAAUUUAACAUGUAAUAUAAUUUUUUUAAACCGUUAUACACAUAUAAUAUCAAAGUAAUGUUUAUUUAUAAUAAAUCUAUAAUUGUAAGUUUGCUGACAUAGUGCUAGAGUUUAGCUCCAACCACCUGAUCCAGCUAUUCAAGGUCUUCAGGAUUACUAGAAAUUUCCAAGCAGGUGUAAGUUGGAUCUAAACUGCAGAGCUGCGGCCCUAUAGGAAUUGAGUUUGACACCACUGUAUUGUGACUGUUCUUUUUUUCUUCUUCUUUCCUUCUUAAAUUACAGCCAAGAAAUGCUAGUGCAGAGAUUUAAAAGUUCAUAAAAAGAUGGCUGCUGCCCACUUUGGACAGAGAUGCAGGGAGAAAAGAGUGGAUCCGAAUGCAACCAAAUUCUUCCAAAGCAUGUCCCCCUUUUAGGGUACGCUUACUGGAGGAAGCUCCUGGAUAAAAAAAAAAGAAGAAAUUCUCAUUGUGUCAUUUAUACAGGGGGAAAGGAAUCACAUAUUGAUGUUAUGGGGUAAUGCAUGGGGUCAGUGGGGAUGUCAUGAAAAGAAAUGGUUUAAGGGCAAAAGACUUGUAAAAGUGUGCUGGUAUCGGCCCAGUUUCAGUGUGUUUCAUUUCUUGUUGGUGUGAUUGUGGCCUAAUGCCGGUGGUGUUGACUCAGUUUUAGUACUGAGACCAAUACCGGCUAAGUAUUUCAAUUCUUGUCGACAUGAUUGUGGCCCAUUGCCCGGCAGUUUUGGCAGCCGGACUCAGGCCAGUGUAUUUUUUGGCCGAUUCAGGGGCGUCAUUCAUCCCAUGUCAAGUCUGGGAUCUGCAGCCGAGUGAGUUAUUUCUUUAAUAAAGGAAAAAUAAGUCAAGUCAGGCCAUGCUUAGGCUACACAAUCAUGGGGAAGACUGCUGAUCUGACAGUUGUCCACAAGACAAUCAUUGACACCCUUCACAAGGAGGCCACAAACAUUCAUUGCCAAAGAAGCUGUUCACAGAGUGCUGUAUCCAAGCAUGUUAACAGAAAGUUGAGUGGAAGGAAAAAGUGUGGAAGAAAAAGGUGUAAAAUCAACCCAGAGAACCCCAGCCUUAUGAGGAUUGUAAAGCUAAAUAAAUUCAAUAAUUUAAGUGAACUUCACAAGGAAUGGACUGAGGCUGGAGUCAAGGCAUACACAUGUCAAGGAAUUUGGCUACAGUUGCUGUAUUCCUCUUGCUAAGGCACUCCUGAACCACAGACAACAUCAGAGGCAUCUUACCUGGGCUAAGGAGAAGAAGAACUGGACUGUUGCCCAGUGGUCCAAAGUCCUCUUUUCAGAUGAGAGCAAUUUUUGUAUUUCAUUUGGAAACCAAGGUCCUAGAGUCUGGAGGAAAACCAAAGUCACCCAUUUACCAAGCACCUCAUGCUUCCUUCUGCUGACCAGCUUUUUGAAGAUGCAGAUGUCAUUUUUCACAUGCCCACAUUGCCAAAAGCACCAAAAGUUGGUAAAAUGACCAUGGUGUUGGUGUGUUUGACUGGCCAGCAAACUCACCAGUUUUUUUUACUGUAGUGAUUAUAACCGCUGUUUAUAUACCACCCGAUGCCAAUAAAAACAAUGCUCUUGCUCUCCUACUAAAUGCCAUAGACAAACUAUAGAGUAUGCACCCUAAUGGUGUUCACAUUAUAGCUGGAGAUUUCAACAAAGCAAACCAAACUAAACGUUAAGUGCCCAACUAGGGGUGAAAAUACACUUGUAUACCAACAUACCAACAUGCCUACAUGGCUGUUCCUCUUGCUCACCAGCCAGGUCUUCACUUGAAUCUUAAUCUUACUGUUACACAGUUUUUUUUAUCUCUCUCUCCCCCUUUGGGUAGACCUAGUGCAAUAUACACUUGUGUGCAAUAUAACUCUCAACUUGCUUGUUGAAGGUUAGUCUCAGGUAACUCAAACUCUUUAUUGUGCAAGUACGUAACAUUGUUAAAUUGUGACUUGUGCAUUUGUUAAAUGUGCUCUCUGUGAUAUAUAAAUUUAUAUGUUUGUAUAAUGAUAAUAAACGCAUUCAUUCAUU